GUGUUUGCUUCAGCAGCACAUACACUAACAUUGGAACGAUACAGACGAGCCUGGUCCCUGCACAAGGAUGACAUACACGCCAGUUCAUGAAGCGCCCCAUAUAUAU
rfam:Myotis davidii contig21036, whole genome shotgun sequence.